CCCCAGGCAUCGAACAGCCGACUCAGAACUGGUACGGACAAGGGGAAUCCGACUAUUUAAUUAAAACAAAGCAUUGCGAUGGU
rnacentral:rRNA from 1 species